GUGGGGAAUCUUGCGCAAUGGGCGAAAGCCUGACGCAGCCAUGCCGCGUGAAUGAUGAAGGUCUUAGGAUUGUAAAAUUCUUUCACCGGGGACGAUAAUGACGGUACCCGGAGAAGAAGCCCCGGCUAACUUCGUGCCAGCAGCCGCGGUAAUACGAAGGGGGCUAGCGUUGCUCGGAAUUACUGGGCGUAAAGGGCGCGUAGGCGGACAGUUUAGUCAGAGGUGAAAGCCCAGGGCUCAACCUUGGAAUUGCCUUUGAUACUGGCUGGCUUGAGUACGGGAGAGGUGAGUGGAACUCCGAGUGUAGAGGUGAAAUUCGUAGAUAUUCGGAAGAACACCAGUGGCGAAGGCGACUCACUGGCCCGUUACUGACGCUGAGGCGCGAAAGCGUGGGGAGCAAACAGGAUUAGAAACCCGUGUAGUCC
rnacentral:rRNA from 1 species